CUACGGGAGGCAGCAGUGGGGAAUAUUGCACAAUGGGGGGAACCCUGAUGCAGCAACGCCGCGUGGAGGAUGACACAUUUCGGUGCGUAAACUCCUUUUAUAUAAGAAGAUAAUGACGGUAUUAUAUGAAUAAGCACCGGCUAACUCCGUGCCAGCAGCCGCGGUAAUACGGGGGGUGCAAGCGUUACUCGGAAUCACUGGGCGUAAAGAGCAUGUAGGCGGGUAGAAAAGUUGGAAGUGAAAUCCUAUGGCUUAACCAUAGAACUGCUUCCAAAACUCUUUACCUAGAAUAUGGGAGAGGUAGAUGGAAUUUCUGGUGUAGGGGUAAAAUCCGUAGAGAUCAGAAGGAAUACCGAUUGCGAAGGCGAUCUACUAGAACAUUAUUGACGCUGAGACGCGAAAGCGUGGGGAGCAAACAGGAUUAGAUACCCGUGUAGUC
rnacentral:rRNA from 1 species